rnacentral:rRNA from 1 species
GAUGAACGCUGGCGGCGUGCCUAAUACAUGCAAGUCGAGCGAACGGACGAGAAGCUUGCUUCUCUGAUGUUAGCGGCGGACGGGUGAGUAACACGUGGAUAACCUACCUAUAAGACUGGGAUAACUUCGGGAAACCGGAGCUAAUACCGGAUAAUAUUUUGAACCGCAUGGUUCAAAAGUGAAAGACGGUCUUGCUGUCACUUAUAGAUGGAUCCGCGCUGCAUUAGCUAGUUGGUAAGGUAACGGCUUACCAAGGCAACGAUGCAUAGCCGACCUGAGAGGGUGAUCGGCCACACUGGAACUGAGACACGGUCCAGACUCCUACGGGAGGCAGCGGUAGGGAAUCUUCCGCAAUGGGCGAAAGCCUGACGGAGCAACGCCGCGUGAGUGAUGAAGGUCUUCGGAUCGUAAAACUCUGUUAUUAGGGAAGAACAUAUGUGUAAGUAACUGUGCACAUCUUGACGGUACCUAAUCAGAAAGCCGCGGCUAACUACGUG